GUAUCUAUAGCCAAAAGGUUAGGCACUUGACUCAUAAUCAAGCAUAUAUUGGUUCAAUUCCAAUUAGAUACU
rnacentral:tRNA from 1 species